AACGAACGCUGGCGGCAGGCUUAACACAUGCAAGUCGAACGCAUCGCAAGAUGAGUGGCAGACGGGUGAGUAACGCGUGGGAACAUACCCUUUUCUACGGAAUAGCUCUGGGAAACUGGAAUUAAUACCGUAUACGCCCUACGGGGGAAAGAUUUAUCGGGGAAGGAUUGGCCCGCGUUGGAUUAGCUAGUUGGUGGGGUAAAGGCCUACCAAGGCGACGAUCCAUAGCUGGUCUGAGAGGAUGAUCAGCCACACUGGGACUGAGACACGGCCCAGACUCCUACGGGAGGCAGCAGUGGGGAAUAUUGCGCAAUGGGCGAAAGCCUGACGCAGCCACGCCGCGUGAGUGAUGAAGGCCUUCGGGUUGUAAAGCUCUGUCGGGAGGGAAGAAGGGGUAACCCUGACGGUACCUCGCAAGAAAGCACCGGCUAACUCUGUGCCAGCCGCCGCGGUAACAC
rnacentral:rRNA from 1 species